rnacentral:sRNA from 1 species
GUGUUAAGCGUUUAGGAUAUUACAGGAAAUUUUCCUUGAUUUUAAUAUUGUGACUUUUUUUCCUUUCCUUAGUCUAUCCAGAAGUUAAAGGAGAGAUUGCUUGUAAAGAUGAAAAGCUGCUGUCGUUUCUAAAAGAUGUGUAUGUUGAUUCCAAAGAUCCUGUGUCUUCCUUGCAGGUAAAAGCUGCUGAAACAUGUCAAGAGCCGAAGGAAUUCAGAUUGCCAAAAGACCAUCACUUUGAUAUGAUAAAUAUUAAGAGCAUUCCCAAAGGCAAAAUUUCCAUUGUAGAAGCAUUGACACUUCUCAAUAAUCAUAAGCUUUUUCCAGAAACCUGGACUGCUGAGAAAAUAAUGCAAGAAUACCAGUUAGAACAGAAAGAUGUGAAUUCUCUUCUUAAAUAUUUUGUUACUUUUGAAGUCGAAAUCUUCCCUCCUGAAGACAAGAAAGCAAUACGAUCAAAAUGAAGAAAAUCACAGAAAUUUCCUAUGUGUACUCCUCAUCCCUCCUGCUGUAUAUUUUCUCAUUUUUUGCGUAAUAAAUUAUGUUAAUUACCAAA